rnacentral:rRNA from 1 species
CCUACGGGUGGCAGCAGUGGGGAAUAUUGGGCAAUGGGCGCAAGCCUGACCCAGCAACGCCGCGUGAAGGAAGAAGGCUUUCGGGUCGUAAACUUCUUUUAUCAGGGACGAAGCAAGUGACUGUACCUGAUGAAUAAGCCGCGGCUAACUACGUGCCAGCAGCCGCGGUAAUACGUAGGUGGCAAGCGUUAUCCGGAUUUACUGGGUGUAAAGGGCGUGUAGGCGGGAGUGCAAGUCAGAUGUGAAAACUAUGGGCUCAACCCAUAGCCUGCAUUUGAAACUGUACUUCUUGAGUGCUGGAGAGGAGAGCGGAAUUCCGGGUGUAGCGGUGAAAUGCGGAGAUAUACGGAGGAACACCAGUGGCGAAGGCGAAUAGCUGGACAGUAACUGACGCUGAGGCGCCAAAGCGUGGGGAGCAAACAGGAUUAGAUACCCGGGUAGUU